rnacentral:rRNA from 1 species
GGAAUAUUGGACAAUGGGCGAAAGCCUGAUCCAGCCAUGCCGCGUGUGUGAAGAAGGUCUUCGGAUUGUAAAGCACUUUAAGUUGGGAGGAAGGGCAUUUACCUAAUACGUAAGUGUUUUGACGUUACCGACAGAAUAAGCACCGGCUAACUCUGUGCCAGCAGCCGCGGUAAUACAGAGGGUGCAAGCGUUAAUCGGAAUUACUGGGCGUAAAGCGCGCGUAGGUGGUUUGUUAAGUUGAAUGUGAAAUCCCCGGGCUCAACCUGGGAACUGCAUCCAAAACUGGCAAGCUAGAGUAUGGUAGAGGGUGGUGGAAUUUCCUGUGUAGCGGUGAAAUGCGUAGAUAUAGGAAGGAACACCAGUGGCGAAGGCGACCACCUGGACUGAUACUGACACUGAGGUGCGAAAGCGUGGGGAGCAAACAGGAUUAGAUACCCUUG